AACCAGAAAAAAGAAUAGAAAAGUUGUAAUUCUCAGUAUGAAUAUCAGUAAAGAAUUCUCUUUCCGCAUAGUCUUUCCGAGUUAUUAGCUACACAUAAAAUCAUUAUGGCUCAUAAUCUCUUUUAAUUACAAAUAAAGCUCUGAAGGAGUAAAAAUAUCUUAUAUUUAGAUACAAUCUUGGUCUGAAACCUAGAGUAUCUUCUAAUGAUUGUCAUCAACUAUGAGCAGCCUUGUGGAGUAUGCAUAAAAUUGUUUGACUAUGUCCAAAGAGAACAUCUUGUUGGGUUGUGCAACUCUUUGCCAUCCAUAUUGUCCACCAAGAAGUUGAACCCACAGAAAUCUUCUUCUUUUUAAGUGACAAUUUUUUUUCCAAAAUUAGUUCACUUUUAAAAGUAAUCUCCUUGAACUUUUGCUUUGCUCCUUUAGAGUAAAACUUGUUGCUUUGGAGGUUGAUUUGGACUCUUUGGCAACCUUCUUGCCUUUGCUUGAAGAAUGUCUUCUAAUCCUACAAAAUUUUAUUAACAUGCAAUUUCCAAUUCUAGGAGUUAAUCACAUAAAUUCAAGGCAUUAUUUGAAGGUGAUUGAUCAACAAUUUUCACAAAUGGUGUUGAAACAAGUUUUAAACUCAAGUCUUGGUUUGAGCAUAACAUCCAAGUUAAGAAAGUGUUUCAAAACUUUUGUGGGAUGGCUUAUAUUAUUUUAGCAACUCAAAACAGCACCAUAAACAUAAUUUAUUCAACAUUUUCAACACAUUACUCCAAGUAAAAAAAUUGGGUUCAUGAUAAUCAACAAGACAAAACAUCACUGCAAGAAAUUUUGCAAAACUUUCAAAAGAGUCAAACUUUGCACCUAUGGAUUUUAAUGGUUAAUUUUCCUUUCUGCAUGUCUCAAAUGAGUUUUAUGCCAUGCUGAAGUAAAUUGUCCAGCCACAAAACUGAAUUUUAAUGUGGCUUCAAUUUGAAAAUUUAAGCAUGAUUUUGGCUAGAAACUAAUUCUCAUCCUCCAAGCAUAUUUACCAUUCAAUUGAACCAUUUUUGAAAUCAAAUUUGAGUGGCCUAACAGCAGCCCCAUUUUUACUUAGCCGCUCUUUAUGAAACUAAGUUAUUUUAAGGAAAAAUGACCAUAAAAAAUGUGGUUUAACCGAAGGCAUGUUUGUGUUAGAAAAUAUAGAAAUUUUUUCUACGUCAAAACAUGGAUUUUCUUCACUUUUUAAGCAUUUUUGUGAGAGCUUGCUUCAUCUUUAAAAUCAUGUCUUCAACAUAACAACCACACAUAUUUAAUUUCAAAACAAUCAUGUCUUCACUUUUUGAAACUUUUGAUUUGGGAUUUGCUUGAAAACAUUUUGAUUUUGUUUGUAGAAAUUUUCCCAAACAAAACGUUUCAAGGAAGAACAUAAUCUAAUGAAAAACAAAGCUUUAUAAGAAGAAGAAUGAGAUACUUAAACGAUGAGAGAAUGAAGCUUGAACUUUUGAGAGGUUUUAAGAGCUUCUCGAGAGAAUGGAAAAAAAAUCAAAAUGAGAGUUAUGAGUCGUACGAAGUAUUUAAAGUUGUCAAAAAG
rnacentral:lncRNA from 1 species